UACGGAGGAUGCAAGCGUUAUCCGGAAUGAUUGGGCGUAAAGCGUCCGCAGGUGGCUGUGUAAGUCUGCUGUUAAAGAGCAAAGCUUAACUUUGUAAAAGCAGUGGAAACUACACAGCUAGAGUGCGUUCGGGGCAGAGGGAAUUCCUGGUGUAGCGGUGAAAUGCGUAGAGAUCAGGAAGAACACCGGUGGCGAAGGCACUUUACUGGGCUAUUACUAACACUGAGAGACGAAAGCUAGGGUAGCAAAUGGG
rnacentral:rRNA from 1 species